rnacentral:lncRNA from 13 species
UACCACCCUGGCAAACUGUUGCAAGGUAACAGGAUAUAUAGAAAAGGUGGGAAGAACAUGGGCAUAGAGGCAGACAGACCCAGACUCAGAUUCUGUCUCUGUUCCCUUUUAGGCUGUGUGACCUUGAGUUGAGGAUGCAAUGUAAAAGCAAAUUUCACCUUCUACCCAAAAGAGACCUACCUCAAAGUCCAGAGUCUUCAGUUGCCAUCCUGUCCUUGCAGCCCCUGAGAGCUUCCUGAGGAGUGUUGAGCAGGAAAGGGUGGCCAGAGAGGAGCACCUGGAGCCUCACAGACAGCAGUGCCCACCACAGGGACAGGGAGAGCCACUGUCAGCUCUGCAGAGUGCUUCUGUGGUCGUCCACUGGGAGAGAAGAAUAACAUCCCCUGAGGGAGAGUGGGUGGAAUAUGCAGCAGGGCCUGAAAGACAUCCCUGGGGACAAGGCAGCCGGGCAAGGUAAGGCCAUUGGGUUGUGAAGGGUCCAUCAUGCUCUAACACCAAGGCCCAGACACCUCACGUCCCUCCCACCAGCUGAGCAGCAG